UACGUAGGGUGCGAGCGUUGUCCGGAAUUAUUGGGCGUAAAGAGCUCGUAGGCGGUCUGUCGCGUCGGUCGUGAAAACUUGGGGCUUAACCCUGAGCUUGCGGUCGAUACGGGCAUGACUGGAGUUCGGCAGGGGAGACUGGAAUUCCUGGUGUAGCGGUGAAAUGCGCAGAUAUCAGGAGGAACACCGGUGGCGAAGGCGGUUCUCUGGGAAUAUCCUGACGCUGAGGAGCGAAAGUGUGGGGAGCGAACAGG
rnacentral:rRNA from 1 species